rnacentral:rRNA from 1 species
CCAGACUCCUACGGGAGGCAGCAGUGGGGAAUAUUGGACAAUGGGGGGAACCCUGAUCCAGCGACGCCGCGUGAGUGAAGAAGUAUUUCGGUAUGUAAAGCUCUAUCAGCAGGGAAGAAAGAAAUGACGGUACCUGACUAAGAAGCCCCGGCUAACUACGUGCCAGCAGCCGCGGUAAUACGUAGGGGGCAAGCGUUAUCCGGAUUUACUGGGUGUAAAGGGAGCGUAGACGGCGAUGCAAGCCAGAUGUGAAAGCCCGGGGCUCAACCCCGGGACUGCAUUUGGAACUGUGUGGCUGGAGUGUCGGAGAGGCAGGCGGAAUUCCUAGUGUAGCGGUGAAAUGCGUAGAUAUUAGGAGGAACACCAGUGGCGAAGGCGGCCUGCUGGACGAUGACUGACGUUGAGGCUCGAAAGCGUGGGGAGCAAACAGGAUUAGAUACCCGAGUAA